rnacentral:tRNA from 1 species
GCCGGCGUGGUGGAACGGCAGACACCGACCUCUUAAACAGGUCUGGGCGAGAGCCCGUGCGGGUUCGAAUCCCGCCGCCGGCACCA